GUGGAUAGCCCUAGAACUAAAAUGCAACUGAGUGAAACCACGCUCCCAGUCAUGGCGUCACUAAACCCUAAAAAAAAACCCUAUGCUGUUAAUCCCUCCGCAACUCCCGAAAUGUUCUCUCAAUUCAUUGAGGACCAACCCCUAUCGAAAUCGUAUCCUGAUCAUCUCGUUGACACGCCAAGUGUUUGCCAUUCAUGACCAAUAAACUGUAGCAUAAAGCCCAAUCUAAUAACCUCUCUGCAACUCCGAAAAUGAUCUCAAUUCAUGUAUGAAAAUCCGAAAACCUUGAUUUGAAAUUAAACCCAGCAACAAAAUGAUCUUAAUUAGAAGACCCUAUCUGUGCAUCAAGACCCUCUUCAGGCUUCGAAGCUCUUCAUUCUCCUUCUCUUGACAGGUUGAAUCCAGAUCUGAGAAGCUUGAAAGAAUUGCAGAAGAGCUCCUGAAUCUCACUAAAAUUGAGAGGUAUGAUUACUCUUUACUCUUUCGUCACAAAUUAGGGUUUCAAAAAUAUGGCUCCGCACUAUCCGGGGCCAUUUCCGGCGCAGCCACAGGGAAAUCUGGUUCUCCAACGUUUGAGACCAAGGUCACAGAGAAGACGGCCUUUGAGAUGAAGCUCGAGAAAUUUGACGCGGCCGCAAAGAUUAAGAUUAUAAAGGAGGUCAGGACUUUUACUGAUUUAGGGCUGAAAGAGGCCAACCAAUGAUUUGGUGGAGAAAGCUCCUGUUGUUUUGAAGAAGGGGUUAACUAAGGAGGAGGCUGGCCCUAUUGUGGAUAAACUAAAGGAAUUGGGGGCUACUGUUGUUUUAGAGUGAUAAAAAGAAGGUUGUUCUUUUUUAUCUCCAGAUACUGAUAGUGAUAGAAGGAAAACCGUUCUUGGUCUCUCUGGGUACUUUUGUUUUGAAAUAAUUGAAGAAUACUCUCUUUAAUGUUGAUUGAUGGUGAUAAAAGAAGAUUGCUUAAUUGCUCAUACAUUGUGUCUUUUAGAAGGGAAUGACGCUCUAUUUGCCACACAAAGGUGAAAUUUUGGUUGAGGUUUUUAUUGUUCUGUUGAUGAACGUGGGUGCCUUGUUUCUGUUUUCUUACUUGUGCUAUUUGUAGAUGGGGAUCCAAAUUUUGUAUUGUGUUACUGAUGAUAUUUAGUUUUGUAGGAUGAAUCAGUUGUAUAAUUAACUCUUUCAGUGGUUUGUGCAUGACAAAUGUUUUGGAUUUGGUUUUGUAAAAUGAAGGAUAUAGAAAAUCGGAAUGGAUUGCUUCAUGAGCUUAGAACUCAAUAACCAUUUAUCCUUUCCUUGUUUUAUUUCUUUUCCAUUUUCCUACUUCCAACUAGAGAUUCUUAUAUUUGCUUCAUUGUUUUGGACAAAAUUUCUUUGAGCUAGUGAGAUAUAACGAUGGUGUUCAAACCUAUUUUUAUGGUGACAAGUUGCUAAUUUUCUGUUGAAAUUCCAGUGUUUUAUGUGGAAAUAGGUCAAUUCCUAUUUCCAUGUUGUGCCAUGUUGAACUUGAUUAUAUCAUGAUAAACUUGUGAUUUAACUUGUAUUAGGUCAAUACAUUUGCUAUGCAUAUAUUACAAGGUUUUAUUGAUUGAAAAUACCGUCAGGUUGAAAGUGAAUAUCCCUUUCAACAGAGUAUUACUAGCAUACCCUCAUUCCAUUGUAAUACACGAAAAUUAAUGUUUAUAAACAUCUUUUACACGCAGAGAUUCCUAUCAUUUUCUUGUUCAUUGCAGUGUCAAUUGUGUCAAGGAUAGUCACUACUUUUGUGACUACUCCAUCAUUGUUUGAGUUUUGUCAUCUUGCUAUGAUGGUUUGUUUCUUUUUUGACAAGGCUGAUGGUUUGUUUCUUUUGUUGGGCUUAUGGUAUUUUCAUGAGCUUUGCAAUUGUAGUUAUAGAUUGUAGAGGUUAGCUCGUUGACUGCUCUAUCCCCCCUUGUUGGGUCGGUUAUGACAUGCGUAUAGGUGUUAAUGUGGUCCGGAAUCUUCUAGUAGGGUAUAUAUGGGUGGGUCGGUAAACAUAUUGUGCUAUGGGACUUUAGAAGUUUUUUUCAACUACAUUAUAUGCUAAUAUAUGAUGAUCAUUAGAUUCUUACCAUGAAUUUGGAAUGGACUUUCUUGCUGACUAGACUGUUGCUACCAUAGUACCGCAUAUGUAUUAAAUUCAUAUGCAUUCUAUGUCUGGUACAUCUAGUGGGCUAACCUCAUGUGCCUAUGCCUUUAUUAUAUGCUCGUGUUGUGCGAUUAGGGUUGCAUAGCAUGUUUUCAAACCCUCACGUACUUCUCACCUCUCCCUCUUCUGUCUUCACAUGUAGUUCUUUCCCCUCCUUUGUCUUAUCCAAUUAUUCUUUUGUUUCCAUGUAUGCAUAGCUCUUUCUUCACUAUGUGCAGCCAUUAUGAAUUGAACUAUUAAAAAAAAGAAGUGAAUAGCUCAACUAUGAUGGAAACUCUUGCAGGAAUUCUAGGCCAUCAAGAUGGUGGGGUUCAGGGUCUUCUACGGGCCUUCUGAAUCUCUUCUAAUGGGUAGAUGACCCUGUCAAUGGGAGGCAUUACCCGCCCAAGGGACCUCCAGUGGGAUUUAGGUCAUUUGGGACCAAACAAUUUAGCUUUGGAGUCAGCUACAGUAGGCAUGUACUCAAUCUUUGUCUCUUUCACUAGAAUGUCAUACCAUUUGAUUUGGAAAUUAUUCUCUUAAAAAAAAAAAUGCGAAAACAGUAGUUAGAAAUUUUCUUCCAUGGCCCGAAUAGACUACAGUCACCAAACUUGGGAAGAAUUAUUGACGGAACUCAACUGAGUUGUUGUCUUGCCCCUCACCCCAUUCUCAACAGGUGUCUCUUUACUUGGUCAAACCACACGGCCAGUCCAAGCAUAAGUAGGAUCGAUAGGUUUUUCAUCUCCCCCAUACAGGAAGUGGAAUUUUCUGGAACUCACUUUAGAUCUCUCCCUAAAUCUAUUUCAGACCACACCCUUUUCUAUUAGACAACUGACAUUAGCUCUAGUGGUUGUUUAAGAAAAUAUGGCUAGAGGAACCCAACCGGCAUCCCUUGAUUCCUUUAUGGGGGUCCUCCUUUGAUGUUCAAGGUUGGGAAAGAUUUAGCCUUUGAAAUAAACUGCAUCUCCAUGGCUGCCUAAAUAGUAGAACCACUGGAACCAUGGUAGUUUCUAGGGAAGAAUGGAGGCCAUUUUAACAACGAUUAGGGACCUAUACUUAGUAGAGGAAUUUACAGAACUGACUCGGAGGAGUUCAUUGCAUACCAAUGAAGUUGAAGGGGAAGUUCUAUAAGACAACUAUGUGACUAGCUUUGCUUUAUGGGACAGAAUAAUGGGCAGUAAGAAACAACAUACCCAUAGGAUGAGUGUAGUUGGGAUAAGGAUGUUGAGAUGGAUGAGGGGCAAGACAAGAAGGGAUAGAAUUUAAUUACAUACGGACCUUAAAUAAGUUAAUUAAUAGAGUUAAAUUACGUAUGGACCUUAAAUUAUUUUAAUUACGUACAUAAUUAAAAGAGUUAAUUACGUACGGACCUUAAAUAAGUUAUAAAAAUACGACUUGCUCCCUUUAUACCCGAAAUUUACAAUCAAAGUCGUUCUACGCAAUCUUUUUUUUUGUUGACAGAAUUACCCCUUGGGCCGAGGAUGCCAUCUUCGGACCGUUUUUUUUUUGGAUUUAACUUAAGUUGCUGCCUGAAGAUGGCAUUCUCGGAUUACUUUUCUUUUUCAAAACUUAAGUUUCGGUCCAAGAAUGUCAUCCUCAGACCGCAACUUUAAGUGUUGGAAAAAAAAAAAAAAGCGGUCCAAGGAUGCUAUAUCCCGGACCACUUUAAGUUUUGGAAUAAACAAGCGGUCCGGGAUGGCAUCCGCCGACCGCUUUUUUUUCUUCAAAACUUAAAGAUGUGGUCCGAGGAUGGCAUUCUCAGACCUCAACUUUUAAGUUUUGAAAGAAAAAAAAAAAAACAGUCCGAGGAUGCCAUCCUUGGACCAAGGGGAUAAUUUUGUCAAAACAAAAAGGUCGCGUUGGCCGACUUUGAUUAUAAUUUUCGAGUAUAAAGAGAACAACUUGUAUUUUCUCAACUCCAUGUAUCUCGAUGUCGAGAUGAUCAACUUGAGGAUAUUUGGGCAUCAAAACAAUCUCUUCUAGUUGUAUUUUUAAGGUAGGCUCUAAUUUGAUUGUUUAGAGCCUAGGCUCUAUAUAAACUUUUCCCUAUAAAGAAUGAUUAAAACAAAACACAUUCAAAUGAAGAUAAAAAUUAAUGAAAAAAUGGAUUUUAAAUAAUCGAUUUGUGUCUACGGGUAUUUUUAAAAUUUUUUGAAAAAGAUGGAAAAAAUAUAAAAGUGAAUAUUAAUGACCAAAGCAAUUUCUAAUAUUUACCAUAAUGUAAAGAAUAUUAAAAAUGUAUUACAAACCAAAUUCCUUAUUUUUUGGAUUUUAUAUACAAUUUUUUGAAUUUUUUAUUUUAAAAUACCAGCCGAUCACCAAAACCGCCCGAAAUCGGAACCGACCAAUGAUAUAACCGGGCAGUUACUUGUUAAACCACCUGGAUUUUCUAACAUUGUCUUAAAGUCACUUUCUUCUAAAAAUAUAAAUAUAUAGAUUCAUAUUCAUCAUCAACAAACCCUAAAAUUUUGGAUCCAAAAUCCAUAUUUAAGAUGGAUUUUUGAGGGCGAGUAGAAUUGGAAUAAAAAUGGACCCGGUUUCUAUGCGGCCAAGCCCGCAUAUGNNNNNNNNNNNNNNNNNNNNNNNNNNNNNNNNNNNNNNNNNNNNNNNNNNNNNNNNNNNNNNNNNNNNNNNNNNNNNNNNNNNNNNNNNNNNNNNNNNNNNNNNNNNNNNNNNNNNNNNNNNNNNNNNNNNNNNNNNNNNNNNNNNNNNNNNNNNNNNNNNNNNNNNNNNNNNNNNNNNNNNNNNNNNNNNNNNNNAAAACAUUUGAACCGUCAGAUUCCAUUGUUUUUUAGAUGGAACACCUACUUGCAUCCCUCUUUAAGAAUGGAUACUUUACACUUUUUAGAUCUCAUAUGUAGUCAUGCGGCCCAGCCCUUAUGAAACAAGUUUCCUAAAAAAAAACACUUUAUAAGAGCUAACCAUGCCUACAUCACUCAACAUCGAAUCUCUUGUUGCAAAAUCAAUGCGACUUCCUUACAAUGACCCCUUGGGCCAAGCCAGUCCCGGCCCAAUCAGGGCUCAGGUCCCUAGGCCCAGACUGGCGAGGGCCUAAAAGAAGUAAAAGAAUUUUAAAAAAUAAAAAACUUUUACACUUUUUAGAUCUCAUAUGUAGCCAUGCGGCCCAGCCCGCAUGAAACAAUUUUCCUAAAAAAAAACACUUUAUAAGAGCUAACCAUGCCUGCAUCAAAACUUUUAUUUGCGCUCUACAUCGAAUCUCUUGUUGCAAAAUCAAUGCGACUGCCUUACGAUGACCCCUUGGCCCAAGCCGAUCCCGGCCCAAUUGGGGCUCAAGUCCCUAGGCCCAGACUGGCCAGAGCCUAGAAAAAAUAAAAGAAUUUAAAAAAAUUUGAAAAAGAUACUACAUGGGCCCAGCCCUGCCUUGUCAUGGCUUGGCCCAUGCCUGACCCUCAGGCAACAUUUUGUGGCCCUGGUCCUAUAUUUUCAUGGCCGGGCGAGGUGACCCUAUCCAUUGCCAGGCCUACCUUUGAUGUAGGCACCAGAUUCUGAAACGAUGGAGGUUCAUUAGUCAUUACGGAGCAUAUUUUCAUCAUACUCCUUAACGGAGCAUAUUUUCACUAUUUUCCUACGGAAAAUAGGAAAAAUUAGAAUAGCAACUACUAAUAGCCAGCACAACGAAAAGCCAAUUCUCUUCAUUGCAAAUGUUGGAGGGACAUAAUGAUCGAUUAUUUACCGCUUGACUUUGUCAAUUCGAGAUUUGGGCUAUCGAUGUGUAGCUUAUGACUAUAGAAAAUCUGUAAUCAUCAACGUCAUCUUUCUUUCUGAUUCUGCUCUGGUGACAUUAUGAUGAUGUCAUCUCAUCCCUCAUCCCUCAUCCUUAUCCAUUCAAAACACCCACAACAAGUGUAUACCUCCAUCUCCUAACAUCAGCAAUGAAUUUGUUCUCCUCACUUCCUCUUCACACACAUGCAUAUGCGUGUUUUAACGGAUUUGAACCUCCAUCUUCUAUAUAAAGAGGGCACGUUCCUCCACUUCAGGCAUCCGCACAUGUAUCCCAUGUAUGAAUGUCUGUUUAACUUUUCUGAGUAUGAAAACCGUCAUUCUUAAACAAGACUAAGCUGAGCAUCAUCUGUAAAGGACCUUCGUGCGAGAUUUGGAGUCUCAAUGUUAUAAGCAUGCUGGGGCUUGGAUAGCACCAUCCUGUGUGCCCACAAUCCCAUCCUGUGUAGCCACAAUCCGACAUGCCACACGCGCUUUGAGUGUGGCCAAAACUGUAGUCUUGACCUCCAAAACCCCUUUGUGGCACUAAAAUGAGCUGCAUUCUGGACAUCCAAACAGCAUCAAACUGCAUUUGGUAGCAAAAUUGCAUUUUACUUUGUGAAACAGCAUGUACAUACACAAUACUGCACAUUUGUAUGCAAAAAUUUCUCUGUGUAUGCAAAUAUGUGUUGUUGUUUGUGAUACUGCAUGUUUGCACGUGGUGGACCAGAUUGGCAUUUGAUUAAAAUUUCACUAUUUUUCUUGUAACUUUUCAACAGCGAUCAUUUUCACCUGUUUCUUGUGGCAUUCAAAAGUGUAUUGUCCUUUAUCUGAAACAAGUCUCACAUAUCUGAAAGGUAUGACUCGACCUUAAAGUUUUGAUGCAAAGAAAAUGGCGUGUGUGAGAGAUCAGAUUAUCUUUGUGGUGUCUGCCAAGCAUUGAUUUGUGUCCACAAGUUUAAUGAUCUUCUGUUUCCCCCAAGGUUCUGAAUGAGGUAAAUAUGUGGCUUGAGUUCAUGUUGUAAGUUUCAAGCUUAACACUCUGUUUCUAAUCCUUGACUUGAGAUAAGUCUUGAAUUUGGAGCAUGUAAGUCUGAUUUCCCCAGGGUACCAAGUUUAAGUCAAUCCCUUGGCUUUGUUUUCUGAGUCUUUUGCUCAGCUUCCUUCACCUAGAUUGAAAGAUCCUUUGGGCUUUGUUGCCUACUUGGGCUUUGUCUCACCUGUUUGGGUUUUCUCCCAUCUCUUUGGGCUCUAUCCCGUUGCUUUGAUUCCUUCUCUCGUCUCUAGCAACUCUGGUUUUCGUGGGACUUUAUGCCUAGCCUCUUUUAUCCAUCAGUUGUUGACUUCUACUUCACUGCUUCUGGCAGAAUCUUCGUGAGUGUGGAAUCAAGGAUUUCUCUCACACAGUGCAAUUCGUGACCGCAAACUAGCGAUAGGUCGGAUGCAGUGAACAUGCACCACUAAUAUUACCUUCUGAUACAGAUCGCUCUUUUUGUGCUUCGCGGAGAGUGCAAUUAAUGGCUUCGUCCUAGCGAUGGCCUAGAAAUAAUGAACGUACAUUGCUAAUAUUACUUUCUGAUAGGGAUCGCCUAUAUAAUGCUUUAUAUCUGCUUAGCAAUGCAGUGAACCGAUCCAACCUGUCAAAAAUCUGGUUGAACAAUGACAUACAUGCAAUAGUAAUAUUAGCUUCUGACACAGAUUGCCUCUUUUCAUGCUUUAUAUUUCUCCUGCUUAGCAGUGCUGUUAACCCCAAUCCAACCUGCAAAGAAUCGGGUCGAACAGUGACAUAUUCAGCAUUCAACUCAAUUAGUUUUGCCAUUGUUCUGUUGUCCAUGGGGAGCAAUGUUUUCUUCCUUUUUUGAUUGGUAACAGUUUUAAGUGUAUAUAAGUAACUUGCAUCCACAAUGUAACAAGUGGAAUGUACUCAAGUCAGAUCUUGUUGGAGCAAAAGAUUGUCCCCAAUGGAUAGGAUUCCCUCUCUCCUGAUCAUUACUCAUGCUUUGGAAACAGUCUCCAUGUUUGCGUCCUUGAUCUGUGGUAUAAUGUGACAGAAUAUAAAGCUAGCUUUUCUCCCGUUUGAGGACUUCUCUUUAUCAGUUGGAUGGUCUACUUCUUUAUAAGCAAGUUAAUUUAUCUGCCUCACUUAAAAUUCUUUUAGGACAGUUUUGUUUGCUCCCCCUAGUCAUGGGUGAGCCCUGUCUGUUCCGUUUACUUAAAAACAGUGUUUUAUCUACUGCACAUACUUGAAAAAGAUAUACUAUUUUUCCCUCACUCAUGAAUGACCCAUCAAUUAAUACAGUAUGGGAGUGUCCACACUGGUCACUGAUCUCUUCCCGACCACUGACACCCAACUUUAGGUUCCAGCUCCAGAGCAGCCUACCCAUUCUUAGACUCCUGAGCUUUACCACUUUUACUCUAGACCAACUCUUUUGUGAACUGGUAUGGUUGGACUGCACUUAGAUGGUCUGGUUAAGUCCUCAAUUCUGAGUAGUCAUAGCUCCCCUUGAACUGGUUGGUUGAGCUAUCCAACCAGCCGGUUACCAGAUCACCCAAAACCAGCUGCUAGUUUGGAGCUGGUUUUCUCAAUAUCCAGGGAUGCUUAUAUUUAAAUUUUCGAAUCAGUUUAGUGAAAGGGCGUGCAGUCGAACCCUACAUUAAUCCAUAUGACCUGUAAUUAGUUGACUUAGUGAUGCAAAUAAAAUGGGGGUUUAAUUUUUAUUUUAUUUUUUUAAUAGAAAUUGUCCUAGGAUAAGUCAAGUUAAUUUGGGAGGAGGGAAGAUUUCGUGCGUGAUGUAUUAUUGGUGAAUGGGAAAGAUUUUAUGCGUGAUGUAUUAUUGGUGAAUGUGGUUUUUUAGUUUCUAAACAAUUUGGUUAGUUUAGGAAUGUAAAUAGGAUAAGGUUAAAUCUAAAGGAAGUUUUAUCUUUUCAACAAUAGGCAUGCUUUCAGGUUUGGGAUAAAACGUGGAGUAUUUAUCUUUUUGGUACGUGAUGGUUAAAAGAGAAGAUAGGGAUGAUCGAGGAAAUAGGUUAAGGGAGAUAAAAUAAGAAAGAAAGUCAGUCAUUUAUCUUCUUCGUUUUUUAGUCUAUUUAAAGGGAGAUUUCCCUUCAUUGUAAAGUGGUGAAUGAGUUAAUAAAAUCUGGUUGAUUAUUUUGGGAUGGAUUCCCUCGCAGACCUUUGAGAGAGGGUAUAUUCUCUCAACCUUUUUUUUUUAUUUUCUGGUUUUAUUUUCUCCCUGCAUCACUUAGUUAUACCCAUGGAGCUAUGCGAUAGCUUUAAGAUAUUUGGGAUUUUCAUGAUGGGAUGUAAAAUAGCAUACAUCCACACUUUCAGUUGUGACCAGUUUGUCAAUAUCUAGAACUGCUCAUAAUUUUAAAAUUUUGAAUCUAUGCAAUGAUGAGACAUAGCAUUCAAUUCCACGUUGAUUCAUAUUACAUUAUGUUUUGGUCAAGUGAUUAGGAUAUUUAGGAUUCUUACACGAAGGGAUAUUAAACUACAUACAUUCUCACAUCUAAGAGCACAUCUUGGGGAUUUAUGGCAGAUGUUACUUAUAAAGUUGAGUAAGAUGCCACAGGAUUCAAAAUAAUUAUAUACCCCAUUUUGUGAUGAACUCCUUUUUUCUUUGCCAUUUGUAUGUUUCUCCCUCAUUUUGAAUAAAGCCAAAAGAUAUUCUACUCCUGUUGGCAUAGAAUUUUCACUUACUCCCUCAGGUAAAAUCCCACCUAGAAUUAAUUUUAGAUCAAAUUUUGGGGAUGUAACGUCUUCAAUCCAUAGAUUAGCUCAAUAACAAAGAAAAUUUCCUAAUUGUACCCUCUAUGCACUUGAAAAAAAGUAAUUCUCGAGAUUGAAUAGAGAAUCAAUUUUCAGAUGGUGAGAUCUAACUUUUGGAAAACUCAAUUUUCAAUUUAUUUUUUUUGAGAAUAAUCUCUUAGUAAUUCUUAAGUGGUUUCCAAAAUUUCAGAUCAAAAAAAUCCUCCCAAGUAGGCCUUUUGACCAAAGGAGUAGAAGUAAACUAUGCUAUAUUGAGGGAGUAUACAAUAUAUGUUCCCUUGAAUAAAAAAGAGAGGGAGCAUACAGUAUAUGUUCCCUCGAAUAGAAAAGAGAGGGAGCAUACAGUAUAUGUUCCCUUGAAUAGAAAAGAGUAAAAUAGUCAUUUUCCUAGCCAUCCUUGAUUUGUAUUUGAUUAUAACAAAAAAGUUAAGAUCGAUGGUAAAUUAGAUAGGAUAAUCAUUUUUCAACCGGUAAUACAAAUUGACAGUUCAACAAAAGAAUUGUGAUAAAAAAAUCAUUUCAAGUCUCAAUCAUCACAGAUCAUCAUCUUACAGGCAUGUGUCAUAAGAUUUCAAGAUGGAGCUUUUAGAUGAUGUGGGUAGUUUUAAAACCCUACAUGUAAAAUCUCAAGAUAUUUAUGUGUUGUGCAUGUGUGUGUGUGUGAGAGAGAGAGAUUCCUGACAAAGGGUAAUGUUCUCUACUGGAAAUUUCAGAUUUCACUGAUAAAGAGGGGACACUGCUCAUUGAAGCUAGGGCUACCCCAGUUGGACUUGGACCAUGUCGUCUUCGUGUUGAGACCGCAACCAUGGCCCUACUAGCCACUCUCAUGCUCUGGUCUGAUUCCCAACUCCCCAACUCUCAAGAGGCCAACUUCUACAAAUCAUGCUUGAAGUAAUGGUUUUUGGAAUUCAGAUAGCAUAGCGUGUAUCUAUACUUGAAUUUUGAUGCGGCAAUGGUAGAAAAAGUUUUAAAGGUCACAUUGGUUUCAAGUGCCACAAAAUUUGACCAUUGGGCACUUGGAGAUUGGUUUUUUAAGUGCUAGGUCCCAAACAAGAACAGCAUUUUUACCUGAACUUUCGAACUUUUGGAAAAACAUUGUUAUGGCCUACCCAGUUAAAUAUCACUAAAAGUUGGUGGAAAUUAGGUACUUCAAAAAUUGCUGUCAUAUUUGCUCUGAACAUUGAUUUGCCAGAGUUUGUGCGAUAAAUCCGUUUGAAAAUCUUGGACCUCUCUAGCUUGAACAGCCGCCAAGUUUGGUAGCAUGGGCUAGCCACUUUCACAAUGUUUUGGGGCUGACCUUUUCCAAUCCAGAAAAAAUAACUCGCUGUUUUGAUCCCUUUAUGAUGGUUAAUAGUAACGUACUCAAUUUCUGUUAUAAAUUAUCCCAAGUUUAAGUUAGCACACCUAAUUCAGUUGGAAAACAACCAGAGUUGGGUGGACAUUGCCUCGUUGCGACAUUAUGUCUAUAUUUUGGCCACAAAUUCGGUCAUUUUUUUUACCCAAUUUAUCACAAUCUUAAUGACCUGUUAUAAUUGUCAAUAGCCAUUAUCCUUCUAGUGGUGUUGUUUUCAAACUGUUGCCCGUUGUUUUGUCAUUUUGUGACAGUUGCUGUUACGGUCAAAUGCUCAUACAUUUAUAAUAGCUUAUAGAAAUUUAAGGGAAAUAUAGGAAAAAGUUUAUAUGCCCAUGCGUAAAGUAGAGGAUGAAGUUUUAUAAGGGGUAUGCUUUAUGAAAACGAAAAAAAGCCUCACCCCAAAUCCUCAAUUGAAAAGCACUUUCAGUAGUGGGAAUCUCUAUUAUGGCUUUAAAAUCAAUUUCCAAUAUUGAUAAUAAAAUUUGAAUUUAAAAAAAGUUACAGAUCUUGUGGAUCUAUGAGCACUUAUUUUUAAGGCGAAAGUGAUGGCCUAUAUAUUCUUUAUAAUAUACACUAUUUUUAGAGCUUAAAAUCUUAAUUUUUUUUUUUUAAACCAUAAUGUUCAAGUUGAGCUGGUUAAUGUAAAGGAUUUCUAUUGCUUGAAUUGCAGUUCUCGAUGUGUUAUGAGGUGAGGCUUUAUUUAUUUUAUAGGGAUGCAGCUAUCACACCAUUUCCUAAAGUAAAACCAAACCUCCAAACCAUGCCGGAAAGUGCAGUUAUGGUGCCCUCAAUUUGAUCUUCUCAACUUUGCGAAUUAUGGAUCUAAAAAUAAGAUUUUCGGUUCCAUUUUGUGAGACAUUAUUUACGACAUCCGUUUUCAAGAAAUAAAAAAGAUUUCAAAGCAAUCAUACCAUUUUUCGAACUACAUUUUUCCGUGGUAUUUAAGGUGCUCUUUUUUUAUGUAAAGUCCAGGCCUCCAUCUUUCAAAAAGGAAAAACAUGUAUAUAAGGUUGCAACCUUAUACUAUAGAAGUAAGGUGCACAUUAAAAAUCAAGUAGAAAGAGUCUUCCGAAGUUGGAAACCUUGUAAUCAUCCCAAUCUCGAGAUGUAUAGAUAUAGAGGGAAAAAAAGUCAAGUCUUAAAAUCAAUGCAUCUUGUAAAAAGUAACAAGGACAAUCUAUUUUUAAGAUUUUUACGGGUUUCUAGAUUUGUUUGAUCCAAAUCUUUUUCGGAAUUUAAAAAUUUGUAAUUAGUGUUGAAUAUGGAUUUUCAAGCUGUUUCCGACAUCAAAACUACAUUCUCUUAUAAAAUAUUGAGACGUAUGUUACUUAUAUAGUAUAAGGUAGGCACCCCGUAUAAAUUAAAAACUUUGUUCUAAAUUUACUAGUUGAAUAUUCAACUCCGAUUAGAUCUAAUCAAACUAGCUAAAUAUUAGUCUAAUGCAGUCUAAAUUAUUGCUUAUAAACCAUAUAAAUUAAAAACUUUGUUCUAAAUUUACUAGUUGAAUAUUCAACUCCGAUUAGAUCUAAUCAAACUAGCUAAAUAUUAGUCUAAUGCAGUCUAAAUUAUUGCUUAUAAACCAUAUAAAUUAAGAACUUUGUUCUAAAUUUACUAGUUGAAUAUUCAACUCCGAUUAGAUCUAAUCAAACUAGCUAAAUAUUAGUCUAAUGCAGUCUAAAUUAUUGCUUAUAAACCAUAUCUAUUCUUGACCACUGAAAAGAUUCACGUAUAUGAUUGAUUGCGGUUUACAUUAAAUAAUCAUAAAACGAUCGUAAUCAAAUCAGAAAUUUCCUUGCCAUCCUCAAUAGAAUUCCAAAGAUGGUGACCUUUUCCUUAGGGUACGUUUGAUUCGCACAAAUUGCAUUUCACACGUUUGGUUCGUUCCAAAUGCCUAUGAAAAUAUUGUACCAUGGUAAAAUAAAAUAUUUUAUCAUGAAAAAGCCAAUACGUGGUAAAAUAAAACCACACCUCAUGAGGUGUGGAAAUAUUUUUCAUGCAGUCAUCAAAUACAGCAUACCCGAAAUAGAGGCCUCUCUCUCCCCCAUGACUCUCCUCUCUCUCUCUCUCUAAAAGCCUAUCCUCUAUGAGAAAACCAGAGCCCUCUCUCACUCUCUCUCCUGUGGCCCUUUGUCUCUUUCUCUAUCUAAAAGCCCCAUCCCUCUACGAGAGAACCACAGCCCUCUCUCUCUAAAAGCCCUCUGCUCCGAGAAAACCAGAGCCCUCUCUCUCUCUCUCAUGUGUCUUUCGUCUCUCUCUAUCUAAAAUAUUUUUAUCAUUAAAAAAAUAUUUUAAAUAAAAUAUGGUUUUAGAUAUUAUUGAAUUUAUCUUCAUAAUUGAAUACUUUUAUUACAUAAUUAUAUUUUUUUUAAACCAUAAAAUAAAUAAAUAAGCUAGAUACUAUUUGUGAUAAAAUAAGAUUACAUGGAGACUGAAAUUUAAAAAUGAAGGAAUUUAUCUUUAAAAUUGAAUAUUGUAUCAAAUAAUUAUAAAUUUGAUAUAUUAUUUUGAAAAUAUUUCAUUAAAUAUCCAUUUGGCACAAAUUAAAACAAAAAUGAUUAAAAAUAAUUCAAUUUGCAUAAAUAAAAGUGAUAGAGAAUUUAAGUUAUAUAAAUAAAAAUCAGAGAAGAAUUAAUAUAGGGUCUUUCUAAUAUUUCCCGGAGAUAGCCGAAUAGAAAGAGUUGUGGUGAUCUGCUCGAAAUAAGCAAUGCAUUAGCCAUAGCCGUUCAGGGCAAUUUGAGGAGUACUAUUUCAGGAAGUUCUUGGUCCUCGUAGGAGCAAGUUGUUUGGAUCUGUGCUAGCUAAUGAUGGCAGUGUUUCAAAGGUUUUGUAUUUUCUUUUUUGGUGCUUUGCAACUGCCACAUAACACUUUUGUUGUCGGACUCUCCUCUGAUGCCGGAUCUGAAACCCACCACUAAAUCCGACUCUUAGUAAUGAUGAUAUCAAUACUACCAUGAGAUAUCCAUAUGCUAACAAAUAUUUCCCGGAAAAUAUGGACGUGCCCUUAUUCUCUUUCUCAAAAGUUAGAGUGGGGAGUUUUAUUUGGUUAGUCUUUGGGUUAGUUGCAUAAACAAGUACGUGAUGUGGAAUUUUCAAAUGCUUCACCACAAAGGUUCAGAUUUUUAUUUAUUGUCCCACCAGGAUAAUUGGGGAAGAUAUGGCUGGGGAAGGCUAGGCUAUAUCUUAAGGGGAGAUCGUAACUGCCAAAGUCAUAAGAAAUACAAAAUUUCUAAGAUGAGUUUAAGUAUUUAAUAACAUGGUGUUUAAUUCUGUAUGGCCCUUAACUUUUUCUUUAAAUUUCUUAUUGCCCUUCUAGGAGGAAAUGGACUAUUUUCAUUUUUUGGAAUUUUAAGUGUCCAAAGCAGUGUUUCACUUAUCAGGCGAGUUUGCUCAGACUUAGCUGAGUAACUCAGGUUUUCCAUCCCCAAGUUGGGUGUCCAAUGUGAGUCUUAAAAAAAAAAAAUCAAAACAAACCAUAAAAAAUUCAAAAAAAAGAAGAGAAAUGGAGAUCUAUUAGCAAGUACGUUGGCUAGAAAAUACUUAUUUUUACAUUUUGCCUAUUUUUGGAUUAUUUCAAAAAUACCUUAUGUCACAAACUGUUUUUUCAAAUUCUAGUUUUUUUACUAUUUUAACCUCAUUUAGAUGUGUUUUAUUAUUUUUUUAUUUUUUUUGCACAUUUUUUGCCUAGGUAGUACCUUCUUGACUGUGGCUGGUUACCUGGACCCGGUGCAGGGCCAGUUUCCAUGGCUGGUUCAUGCAGCAUUAGUCCAAAGGCAUCCCCAAGCUUUCUCUCUCCCUCCCUCCUCUCUAUCUCUCUCUAAAGUUAUCCUUUCUCUCAUACAUGACGGUUUCAGGAGAGGAGGAUAAAAGAUAUGGAGAGCAGAAUGAAUGGCGGACCAAGAUUCAUUUAGCCGACCUUAAAUAGUUGAGAAGAUGCUCUGAUGAUGAUGAUGAUAUUCAAGAUGAAUUCUACUGUCCAUAAUUAUUUUGAUAUUGUCCCGGUGAAAUGAAAGUGUCAAAACAUUUCAAGGUAUCCUGUAAUAUGAAAAAAAAUCCCAAUAAUAACAUGUGUACAAUACUAAAGCAAGAUUAAUAAUUUGAAUGUGAAAAACAACAUUUCAUUUACAUUCAAAUGGCGCUAGGGAAUGUAUACUAUGAGGCCAUUUAUCUUUAUACUAAGGUACAUAACGAUUAUAAGUUGAACGUAUUAAGCUAGAUAACGAGUUUUGAUAUUGUGAUUUUUACAUGGAAAUUAUUUUCAGCUUUGUCAUUUGUAAAAUUAUCAACAUAUUAUCCAUUGUAUAAUUUAUAAUUUAUAUUUAUUAAUCUCUAUAAAAACUUAUUUCUUAAUAUAUAAUAACUAUACUUAUUAAAGUCCCGAUAAUUAUCCUAUAAAUUUCCAAUUAAAAAGACACACACCCUGAUAUCCUUAUGAUACCUUCCACUGAUAACUUCCUUCUAUCGACGAUGUUCGAGCCCAGACUUUUCAAUUUAUUCCAAAACUACCCUUAUUUCAGACCUUGUAAGUCCGAAAUGUAAAAUUGAAAAGUUUGGCUAUUGGAUGGCCUUUUAACUACGUUAUUAAAGAAGUAUUUUUAUUUUAGAUUUUGAAAAUCCGAAGUUUUUAUAAUUUUGGAAAAGAAUAAGUUUAGAAUAUUAAAUAUCUGAAUAUUGUAUUUUAGAUAUUCAAAAAUCCAAAAAUCAUACAAAUUCAAUAAAUUUUAGAUACACUUGAUUUUGGUUUCUCAAGUUUCAAAAUUUUAAAAUAUAACUUAGUUUUUAAAUUUUUUAUUUUCGGAGUCUUGAAGAUUCGAAAUAUAGGCAAUUUGGUCAUAUAAAAAAAGUUAUGUUCACGUUCGAAAUAUAGGCAAUUUGGUCAUAUAAAAAAAAAAAGGAGGUGUGAACAUAGUAACGAAAAAUUUUAAUUAAAAUUUAAUUAACAAAAAAUAUUGAGAAUAUAUGUAUAAAUUGUUUAAAAAUCUGCAUAAAGGUACGGUGAUAAGCCUCAAAUAUCAUGGGUAUUUUGGAUAUUGAGAAUAGAGAUGAGGUUAUGGUGGUAGUAAUGCCCGAGUCUCAAUUCAAAGUCAUGGCCUCCAUUCUCACUAUUUCGAAUUGAUCCUUUCCAAAAGGGGUAGGGGCCUAUAAUCCCCGGCUUAAUGAAAAAAAAACAGAGGGUAGUUUGGAUAUUUUAUUUAUGGGGUUAAUUUAAUUUUGGGGGAUUGUAGGUAAUAAAAUCAUUUGAUACAAUGAAAUGACAAUCAUGUUUAGCCCUUAAAUGUAAUAUCCAAUAUAAAAAUAUAUUAAAACAUUUGAAAAAUUUUAUUUUGGAGUUUGAACCCUGACAAAUACUCAAGCACUCAAUUUAAAAUCUUUUGGAUAUUUUACUUCAUCUUUGCUACUAAUGUAGAAGAUAAGGUUUAUUUAAUUUUGGCUCAAACCAUGACAAAUCCUCAACCACCCAAUUAAAAAUCUUUUGGACAUUUUACUUUACUCAAGUAUUGGUAUCUUUGCUAUUAAUGUAGAAGAUGUGGUUUAUUUAAUUUUGGGGGAUUGUACUUUAUAAAAUCAUUUGAUAAUGAGGUUACAAUCAUUUUUAGCUUUUAAAUGUGAUAUCCCACAACUAGAUAUUAUAUUUGAGAGUUUGUACCCAAAUAUGACACAUCAUCAACUAUUCAAUUUAAAAUCUAUUAGGCCAAUGAUCAUUUCCAAAACGGGUAGGGGCCCAUAAUCCCCAAUGGCCUAAUGAAAAAAAUAGAGGGUAGUUUGAUAUUUUACUUACUCGAAAUGGUAAUAUCUUUGCUAAUCUAGAAGAAGGGGUUAAUUUAAUUUUGGAGAUUGUAUAUUAUAAAAUCAUUAAGUACAAUGAGAUUACAAUUAUUUUAACCUUUAGAUGUAAUAUUCAAUAGAUGAAAGUGUGUUAAAACAUUUAAAAAAAUUUAUUUUGGAGUUUGUGCUUAAAUAAUUAAACAUCCUCAACAACCCAAUUUAAAAUCUAAAGGUCAGUGAUUAUUUUGACCUUAUAUAUUAAAAAUAAAUAGUCUCCUUAAAUACAUUUUCUAAUUUUGGAGCACAAUCUCAAGCUAAAUAUUAGUCAUUGCACCGAGCCAAAUUAGCCCCUAUUUUCUGACAUCCCAACCGCCAGCAACACAUGCACCUCUUGAUGUCCUUAACUCCCCACUAUUGACUGCACACUACAUUGACUCCAUAAUCCAACGGUCCACAUUUGACGGUCCAGAUUUCAUCCCACUUAAAACGUGGUUAAAAUGUAACCACGGUUAGGUUACCAGUCGACACAGUUAAAUACAGCGGCCUUUCCUCCCCUGGCGAAGUAGUGCACCUCUCGCAAGGUUUUGCGGGGACUCGACGGCUUAGAUCCUCUGUUUUCCCUAGAAAUGCGAAUCUGGACCGUCCAUUUUUUAAGUAGGGUUUUUGUGGAUUAAGGUUUCAUUUCUCUGGUUCUCAGAGCCUUUGUUAAUGGCGAACCACCUCGAAAGCUUAGUGGAAACGAUCAAGUCGAAGAUGAGGUCUCUUAAUUUGAAAGGUAAGAAAAAGAAGCCCUAUAUAAAGAUGGACAAGAGUUCGAGUGUUAAGGUUGAGAUUAAGAGCAGAAGAGCGAGAAAGCUCAUAGAAAAAACCCUAGAAGUUGCUGAUCAACCAGGAAAGAAGAGCAUCGCCUGAUUGUACUUUCAGGCUGGUUUGAAGGCUCAAUAACGAGAUCCCUGAGGUUAGAGUUUGAGCCUUCUCAUUGUAAAGAAAUGGAAAAUAAUUUAAUCUUUUUUCCUCACUAGUGGUUUCUUGCUCGCGUUUGGGUUUUUAUUCGUGAUCUUCCUUUACGUUUCUUCCUUAUUAUUGCUGAUAAUUUUCUUUUUUUAUUAUUGAGUUACGUCUAUGAGGGUACUACGUUUGAUGGAACAGAACGAUAGAAGAAGAUCCAUAUAGCCAAUAUCAAAUAGUAAAACAAGAUUCGCACAGUGAAUCUCAAAUAGUAGAACAAGAUUGUGCAGCCAUUCUAAAAAAGUUGGAAUAUCUCGAAUAGUAGAACAAGAUUAGAGCAGCAAAUAUCAAAUAGUUAGAAUACGGCUUGUGUGGUUGAUGAUAAUUUUUCUAUUUUUUUGUUCAUUUGUUUGCUUUAACUCUGUACUAGAAGGCUAAAGUUAAAUUUUAUGAUAAAAACUUAGAAAAUGGAUUUGACUCAAAACAAAUAUUUGGGAUAAAAUGAUGAUAUGAUUCAUGCGUUCCGCUUAAGAUAAGAUUUGACUUUUCGGGGUUGGGGAUUGCUAUGUAGAGAUAGGGUUUGCUAGCACCACCCAUGUCUCAUUAGGUUUGGGUGCGGUUUGUAUAGAGCCAAGGCUCUAAAGUCUAAACAAUCAAAUAAAGGGCACCUUCAAAUAAUGUUGAGAAAUAUGGUUUUCAUUACCACAAUAUUUGUGAUAGGUUUAAAAUAUAUUUUUAUUUUUAAUUAUAAAAUUUAAAGUUUUAAAAAUAGCGUAGAUUGUCUAGAUUUAUAAAAAUUUGAAAAUUUUGAAAAUCGACUGUCUAUAAAUGUAUUACAAGAUGCACUAUUUUAAAAACUAAAAUGUAUUACAAGAUGCACUAUUUACUAAAAUGUAUUACAAGAUGCACUAUUUCUAAAAACUUGAAAUCCAUUUUUUUUUUUUAUGUCCAUGCAUUUUGAUGUCGAGAUGACAAUUUCAAGAUAUUUGGUUAUCAAAACAAACUCUUCUAAUGAAAUUUUAAAAAUAGGUUCUAAUUUGAUUAUUUAGAGCCUCGUGCCACGCUCCGAAGAUUUUGCUGUCUUGAGCUAGCCAUGCCUGGCACACUAUGUACAUAGGCCUCUUUUCUUUUUGUGUCACUUGGCCCCGGAAAGUUCUAGAGAAUUCUAGGACAUCCCUGAGUACUCUAGUGGGCUCCUAAACAUAUCUUGAAGGAUGUAUUGUGUAGAUGGCUCUAGAAACCAUACGAGGGUUAGAGGGUUCCUAGCCAAUAGAUGUAAGACGUGUGGGUGUGCAUUUAGAAAGAUGGUGGGUGCAUCUAGAGGUGAAUCUUCAUUUUACAUUAAGGUAUCAUCAUAUAAAUUUUUCCUUGCAAAUUUCAAAUACAUUCUCACAAAAAAAAAAAAAAAAUGCUAAUAUCAAAACUGAGCCACAACUUUGGCAGGCACAUGGGGGUGACACGUGUCACCAUGAGAGGUUGAUAAGGUUUUCAAUUUUUCUUAGAAUUGGAAAAUAGGGGCCUUGGGGUGAUUUGUUAGAGUCCCUUAAAUUCUUGGUAAGGAUAUAUGAAUUUUCUCCUGACCUCUCUAUAAUUAUUUAAAUAAAUUAAAUGGGGCAUUGCGUGGAUGGAAUGUGUUUGCGUUUUGGGGAUUAAAAUGGGUCACCUUGGAUGAAUUUCCACGGUACAAAGUAUGUAGCAUGGUCAAGUUAACCUCCUACUCCAUUACUCAAUCGACUUCCAUCAAAAUAAUAAUAAUAAAAAAUAAUAUAUAAAGUUAAUUUUGGGUGAAUAUUAUUUUAUGUGGAAGGUUGGUUAACCAGUGUGUUUUGUUUUUUUUUUCUCUCAAAAUUGUUCUUUAGCAUGAAGAUGUCAUCUUCAAACCGUUUUUUUUAGGAAGAUAGUACCUUAGUGUUAGGGACUCAAUCCAAAAGGCAAUCGGAAGUUGGCAUUCUUGGACCUGUCUUAUUUCUUAACAAACAAAUGAGCUAAUGCAGUUCAAGGAUGCCAACUUCGGAUCACCCUGAAGAACACCAGAGAAGGCGAUAUGAGAAUGGGUAACUUGGACCCCCCUUGAAUGUUGAACAAAGUCAGCCUGAGGAUGCCAAUAUCAGGCCGAUUCGAAGAUGCCAAUAUCGGAUCGACUAGGCACUACCCUAGACAUUAGGGCACAACCCUACUAUCGAAAAAAAACUCAAAAAAUAAAAUACCGUUUUGCAUUUGGACCGAAAUAUAAUUUUGAAAAAUAAAAAAACUUAGGUUGACCAACGUUUUGCAUAAUUUUAACCCAAAGUUGACUCAUUUUGUAUUUGAGUUUUUUUUUUUUGUGUCUACGUAAUUCACUCUAAUUCUAUUUUUAAGUUCAAUUCAAAGGGGUAUUGCGUGGCUGAAAUCUUUUUAUAUUUUGGGGAAUAAAAUGGGGUCACAUCGGAUGAGUUCAGCGGUACAAAGUAUGUACCAUAGUCGGUUUAUGACACACGGUCCAUGUUGCCCUUUCAUGUUGCCCUUUCAGCGCUCGAUUGACUUCUUUGGAUCCUGAAUUUUUCAAUCACGGAAAAAAUCAAUCUUGGAAUUGAGAUUUAUUAGAAUUAAAUUUUCUGAAAUCUGUGUUAUGCCGUUUGUACAGCAUCAUCGGGUAGAAAUAAAAAAAAUACAAAUUUUUUAUUUAGAUUGGUUGGAUUAUCUUUUUUUGAAAAAAAAAAUCCUCUCUUUCUUUCAAAAUUUUGAGAUAAUUUCUCUCUCUAAAUAUUUUUCAAAAUUUUUAAUGCACUCUCUUUCAAAAGCUUAAAAUUUGAAAUAGUCUCUCUCUAAAAUUUUGAGAUAGUUUUUCUCUCUAAAAAAUUUAUAUACUUUCUCUCUCUCUAAAAUUUGAUAUAGUUUCUCUCUAAAAUUUUGAUAUACUUUCUCUCUUUAAAACUUAAAAUUUAAGAUAGUUUUUCUUUAUAAAAAUUUUAAAAUAAUUUAUCUCUAGACAAUUUCAAGUAGUUUCUCUCUCUAAAAUAUGAUAUAGUUUAUCUCUAUAAAAUUUUAAGGUAUAGUCUCUAUCUAAAACUUAAAAUUCGAUAUAAUUUCUUUCUAAAAAUUAUAAGAUUGUUUCUCUCUCUAAAAAACUUUAGGUACUUUCUCAAUCUAAAAUUUGAUAUAGUUACUCUCUCUAAAAUUUUAAGAUGCUUUCUCUAUCUAAAACUUAAAUUUUGUGAUAGUUUCUCUUUCUAAAAUUUUCAAAUAGUUUCUCUCUCUAAAAGUUCAGGUACUUUCUCCAUCAAAAAUUUGAUAUAAUUUCUCUCUAAAGUUUUAAGAUAUAUUCUCUCUUUAAAACUUAAAAUUGGAGAUAAUUUCUCUCCAAAAUUUUCUAGUUUCUUUCUCUAAAUUUUUAUUAUACUCUCUCUCUCUCUCAAAAACUUAAAAUUUAAGAGUUUCUCUAUCUAAAUUUUUUUAAAUAGUUUCUCUCUCUAAAAAUUUUAGGUACUUUCUCUAUCUAAAAUUUGAUAUAGUUUAUCUCUCUAAAGUUUUAAGAUAAUUUCUCCCUCUAAAACUUAAAAUUUGAUAUAGUUUCUCCCUUUAAAAAGUUUUAGGUAGUUUCUCGAUCUAAAAUUUGAUAAAAUUUAUAAUCUCUAAAAUUUUAGUAUGCUCUCUCUCUAAAAUUUAAAAUUUUAGAUAAUUUCUCUCUUUAAAAAAUUUUAAGUAGUUCCUCUCUCUAAAAUUUAAUGUAGUUUCUCUCUCUAAAAUUUUAAGAUAUUUUCUCUCUCUAAAACUUAAGAUUUGAGAUAGUUUCUCUCUCUAAAACUUUAAUUUGGUCUCUUUAAAACUUUAAAUUUAAGAUAGUUAUUCUUUCUAAAAAUUUGAGAUAGCUCAUCUCUCUAAAAAAAUUCAUAUAUUUUCUCUAUCUAAAUUUUUUUGUAUAUUUGUCUCUCUAAAAUUUGAUAUAGUUUCUAUCUCUAAAAUUUUAUUAUGUUUUCUCUCUCUAGAAUUUGAUAUUGUUUCUCUCUAUAAAUUUUUAAUAUGUUUUUUGUUUUUCAACAACAAAAUAGGUCAUUUCUAUGAAUGUCAAUUCCACCUAUUUUUGUGGAAUUGAGAUUUCCAAAGGUUAGGCUUAAAAUGAGCAUUCACGCAUCCAAUGAAAAUCUCAAUUCCAACUGAAAUGUCAAUUCUAAGCGAACCAAACAUGAUUGGCCCAACUUUUUCCAAGAAAAAUGACUCCUAAAAAUCUAAAUCCAAAGAACCAAACGGGCUCAAGACAUGCGAGCAUUCUUCCUCGUGUGAAAGGAAAGUAUAUAUUGUCUACUACAUUAAUAUGGAAGAUGUAUAUUGUAAUGAAUAUAUAUGAUGUGGUUGGCAUUCGGCCAGCCCGCUUAUAGUAGAAACAUAUGGUCUUUAACAUAGAGAAUAUAUUUUUAUGUGAUCCUAAUAUUUAGAGAAUAUAUGGUCUUUAACAUAGAGAUCAUGAAUAUGAAAAAAUAAAUAAAUUUUUAAAAUUAAAAAUAAAAAUUAUAUUAAGAAAAUAUAUGGGCAGUUAGUUACUAUUGUCUUCAGAUUGCCCACCUAGGAAUGCUUUAUAUCUCUAGGCGACAUUUUGUACAAAUGCGGUCCAACCCACAUGAAGCAAUUGACCCAAACCUUAUCGUGUACUUUAUUAUUGUCUGUGUGGCAGCCGAUCCCAUGGAGUUGGGAAAGGAUUGUGAUGAUAAUAUUAGUCAACUUGCCUUGCAAUGGCCGUUGCUGACCAAAAUGAAAGUAUAUUAUUCUAUCUCUCUAUUGUGGUGAUGCGGGUAAAGAGGGAUAACGGCAGACCCACAAUGUAAUGUGAACAAAAAAUUGCAGUUGAGUGAAAAUAAUGGCGGUUGAAUACGUGAGCCAUUAUGACAUAGGAAGGUGAUGGGAAUGGAGUGAUAAUAAGAGUUUGACCCAUAUUUGGGAACGGGGUUGAAGUCGGGGUGGCAGCUAUUCAUCUAAGUUUUCAUUCCUAAUGUGUAUUUCAAAAAUAUUCACUAUUAUAAAAAAUGGUGACCUAAACACUUUUACUCAAACCGGGAUAGGGAGAAAAAAAAGAAAUUUUUUUUUUGCCGUUUCCCGAAAACUUGGUUAUGAAAAUGGACCCUCAUAAAGUGGUAUCAUGUUGUAUAACUAUUCCUACCUUUCCCUCGAGGAUAGAAUGGCCAUGGGUACAAGGGGGAACUAUAUUUAUGUGGUGUUCAUAUUUUCCCCAUAAGGCCAAAACACCUUUGCUACAGUUGAGUUAUCAUACCUAAAAGUGAUGAUUAAGUUAAGUUGUGGAAAUCGACUCCUACCAAAUAUUUGUAUCCAACGAAAUACUUAACCAUAUGGCCUGGGUUGUAAGUUUCAUUGUCCACAUUUGCUAUCCAAACACGCACUAACCAUUUUUUUUUUUUUUUUUUGAGAAAUAGUCACCGGAUUUUCAUUUCAAUCACAAAGAGUCAUAUUACAAUCAUCUAUGCUGUAAAAACAAAAAGCAAAACUAAAACUACAAAUCCACACCAUAUAUCAUUACUACACAGUCAUUUCUGUUGCCUGGAACCCAAUCUUUGCUGACCAUCCGCUUCCAUAUUACAUUCUCUAAACACAUGAAGAAAUCUACAAUUCAAAGAUUUACAGCAAUUCACUCAUAAGACUUGUGAAAUCUCCAUGGGUACUCAGCUUUCCCCAUUAUCCAAUUUGUUAUAUUCAAUGAAUCACCCUCAAUAAUAACUGGUUCCUCAAACCUUCUUAACGGCUUUACACCAAUCAGAGCAGCCCUUAGCUCUGCUUAAUUAGAAGUAGCGUGUCCAAUGGGUCCAAAUUUUUUUAGUAAAAUAUCACCAUUUUCAUCUCUAACUAUACAUCAAAUCCCUGCUAAACCAAGAUUUUCAAAAGAACUUCCAUUAAAGUUCAGCUUAAUCCACCCUAUCUCUCCUGUGAGACUUCUCUUUAACGAGUACAAAUAAAUUGUACAUCAAAUCUACCUGAGAAACACCCCUCCACUCCUCUUUGAUUGAUAACCAAUCAUCUACCACAUUCUUUAUUUUAUCAUUCAACUUAAACACUGUUUUUCUUUUGCUAUCAAAGCAUCGUCUAUUUCUUUCCUUCCAUACUUCCCACAAUACAACAGCUUUUAUAAUCUUCCAUAUAAUCCUGCCCCCUUUAUUUAAACCUCCAACCAACCAUUCCCCAAAUAAAUCAUUCAUAUUUGUAGGAAUUAGCUCACAAAAGCCAAUUUCUUCCAUAACCCAUGUCCACACAGAUUUAAAAAACUCACAUUCAAGAAAUAGAUGAUCAAUAUUUUCCUCAUUUCCUUUGCAAAUAAUGCAACAGUUUACCACAUUAUUUCCUCUUUCUUUAACAUAUCCAAAGUAAGAAUUCUACAUAAUUUUAAAGGCCACAAGAAAGGUCGAACCUUUAAUGAGACUGCCCAUUUCCAAAUUUUACCAGCUUGUUUAUCAGACCAAGUUAAACUUUCCACAAUUAUCAAAUGAUAAGUAGAUUUCACAGAAUACUUCCGUGAUCUCUCCAGCUCCCAUAUAACUUUAUCUUCCAACGAAGGGAAAUAAUAGAACUAUUGGGAAUAAAUUCAUCAGACACCUCAUUCGAUACUCUUCUAUAGGAUACACUAAUAUCCCAUUCUAUAAAAAAACCCGCACCAGUAACCAAAUCCCUAACCAUUUGCUUUUGGAAUUGGGAAACAUAUCUUUCAAAGUAUUUCCCCAAUCCAUUUUCCUUGCCAAAAUCUUACAUUGUUACCCUUUCCAACCCUCAUUCUCAUGCUAUUAAUGAAAACCUCUCUAUUUGCCAAAAUCCCUUUUGCAGCCAAACCAUUUUCAAGGUCUUCCCCAUUCUUUUCCACCAGGAUUUUCCUCUAUAAUUGAUCCUUAUCAUUUGCACAUCUCCACCAUCACUUGGCUAACAAAGCCUUAUUCAUUGCUCUUAUAUUUUUAACUCCCAUCCCAUCUUCACGAGAUGGAGUACACACUUUUCCCAUUUGACCAAAUUGUAUUUUUUCUUAUUUUCCAAGGCUCCCCAAAUAAAUCUUCUUAUAAUACUUUCAAUCUUAGCAACAUAUUGCGUCAUCUGAAAAACAAACAAAAAAUAGAUUGGUAGAUUUGAAAGAGAUGCUUUAAGAAGAGUUAGUCUACCCCCCAAGAAAAGUAACUGGAAUUUCCAUGAAUCUAACUUAUAUUCUAUUCUCUGAAUAAGAGGAUCCCACAUUGCCACUGUUUUGCUGCUACCAGAGAAAGGCAGCCCUAAAUAUUUCAAAAGGAAAGUUCCCACCCCACAUUUCAGCAAUUCAGCACACUGUUUCACUUUCUCUUCAUCACAAGCCACCCCAAUUAUAUUAGUUUUCUUCAAACUCACUUUCUGCCCAGUUACUACCUCAAAAAGUUUGAGAAACUUCUUAAGAUUAUAAACUUCAUAUUCACUUACUCCACUAAAGAUUAAAGUAUCAUCUGCAUACUACAAAUAAGAAACCAUAUAGCCAUUAUCUUUAACUUGAAAUCCACUAAUUAAGCCUUUAUGUACUAUAGAAGUAAGCAAUAUACUGAAAAUCUCACCCAUAAUAGUAAAUAGAAAAAGGGUUAGAGAAUCCCCUUGUCUAACCCCUCGAGUAGCUUUAAAAAAGCCUUUUGGUUUCUCAUUUAUAAAAACAGAAAAAAUGAGUUGAUUCUAAAAACACUUGAAUCCAACCAAUCCAUUUAACCCCAAAACCCAUAGCUUUUAAGGUUUGUAACAGAAUUUUCCACUCUACCUUGUCAUAAGCCUUCUCCAAAUCAAUUUUACAAAUAAUAUCCUCUUUCUUUUGAGAAAGUCUAGAACUAAUAAUCUCUGGAGCACACAAAAUACUAUAAGUAACUGGUCUAUCUUGUAUGAAGGCAGAUUGAGGUUCUUUGUCCACUAUAGGGAGUACAAUCUUAAGUCUUCUAGCUAGACAUAUAAGGAUUAGUGAGAAGACAAAUAGGUCUAAUAUCAUUUAAACACUCAAUCAUUCCCUUCUUGUGAAUAAGGGCAAUGAAAGUCGAGUUUAAAUUGGUACUUAUAAUACCCUUUAUUAUGAAACUCAGCCAUUAUAAGACAAGUAUCUGUUUGCACUACCUCCCAAUAUUGUUGAUAGAAACCUAGGGGGAAUCCAUCAGGUCCUGGGGCUCGAUCCCCUGACAAACUAAAUACUAUCUUUUUAAUCUCUGCUUCUAUAAAUGGUCUUUCCAGCCAAUCCGCCCAUACCCCAUCAAGUUUAGAAAAAGGAACUUGACGGAAAUCAGUGAUAGGAAUGUCCUCAACCAAAAAAGCCUAUUGAAAAUAAUUUAUAAUUGCAUUUCCCAUACCUAUUACAUCACCUUCCAUCACCCCAUCUAACUUUAUGCCUUGAAUACUAUUAGUUCUUUUACUAGCAUUUGUAGUCGCAUGAAAAAACUUAGUAUUCAAGUUACCCUCCUUUAGCCAUUUAAUCUGAGAUCUUUGUUUCCAAUAGGUUUCAUCCGCCCCAAUCCAAUCAUGAAGCCCUUUAUAAAUAGAGUCCUUAUAAACCAAACCCUUUUAUUCAAACACACCGGACUCCCAUUCUUUUAUAUCCAACUCUCUGAUCUUAUUCAAAGUCUCAUCCACUUUCAAUUUAUAAUUAACCUUAUGUUCCUUUCUCCAUUUCAUCAUCUCCUUCUUAACCCCUCGUACCUUUUUAGCCACCACAUAACCAGACCAACUCUGUGCACUGUUAUUAUUCCAUGCAUCUUUGAUCAGCUCAUCUAAAGCAUUCUCCAUGAUCCAAGCCAGCUCAAAUUUGAAUUAACCCCUUCCAAACUCUAAAGUAUCACUUUUUCAAAUUAGAGGAUAGUGAUUAGAUGACAAUUUAGGAAGAGCACGAGUUGAGCCCCUCGGGUAUAGAUUUGCCCAAGCCUUAUUAACAAGAAACCGGUCCAAUCGUGUCAUAAUAGGAUUGCUCAAACAAUUGUUAGACCAUGUAAACUUAGCCCCGGCAGCUGAGAUGUCCAACAAUUCCAUAUAGGAAAUAAAACCAGAAAAACCCCUCAUGCAAGAAUUGAUCAUAUGCUUUAUACUAGAUUCAUGAGGCCAUAUAAUCACAUUAAAAUCUCCCCAAUACACCAAGGUAACAAGAAUAAACCCUAUAUCAACGAUAAUUCAUUCGAAAAUUCAGAUCUAACAGAAGCAUCAUUAGGACCAUAAACAUUUGAGAUCAGUGAACAAAAACGAGAAGGGGCAUGAAACAUAACACGCGAAAUAGACCAAACAUUAAUAGAAGACCAUUCACAAAACAAAAUAGAGGGGUCCCAUAAAGUCCAAAUAGCCCCAGAAUAACCACAAGAGUCUUUCACACAGAAUUAUAACGGUCUAAAACCCCAUAUAGCUUUAACAUAGGAAAACAAAGUGUUGGAGAUUUUGGUUUCUUGAAUCAAAACCAAAUCAGGAGGUUCUUUCUUGAUAAUAGAAAGAAGCUCUGUUUUGCGUUUCAAGCUACUUAAACCCCUAACAUUCGAAGUCAGCACCUUAAUCAUUUACAACCAGAAAGAGGGCCAUGUCUGGUAGCAUAGCAGAUAGCAGACAUGGUCUUUGACUGACCAUUCGCCUUUUUUCAAAAUCUUCUCUGAUAUUUGAGAAGACCCAGGUUUCUCUUUCACGACACAUUUGCUUUUUCUUGUUGCCUCACUUAUCUUUUUUCUUCGACCUCCUUGUCAUCGGACUCUGCAUCACUUCAACAACAUCUAUUAUCUCCUCCAUUGCUUCCUCAUCAACUUGAAUAUUCAUAGCUUGGAGCAUCUGAUGAACUUGUUCAUGAGUGUUCAUAUUUCCCUCCACAAUCAUAGGGAUGAUUUGUAAAGGUACAACUUCCACAAUACUUUAUUGAUGAUUCUCUUAAGUUUUUCCUUUUUCAUAAAUAACCAUCGGAGGAUCUCCUAGCCCAAUAUUUUCUUUAUUAACCUUUUGCUCAGCAUACGAUGUUCCCCUCAUUUCAAAAUUCAUCAUAGAACCAUCAUCCAUAUCUGAUACAAUUCAUUCUUCUCAAAGGCAACCAACUCAUCCACAUCUAUUAUGAUUAUCUGAUCUUCAGGCCAAUCACUCCCAUCCGAGAGUUCAGAUGGCCUUUCAAAAUUAACCACAAAAGCUUUCCUAGGGGUAAAUUUUUUUUCAUCUUGCCAAAAAUCUCACGUGCAUACAGUCUAACCAAUUUCCUCGUCUGUAACCCAAAUCACCCAAUCCUGAAAGUCUAAUGAAUGUUCUUCAAUCUUGCCUUGUUGAGCCCCUUUCAUAUCACCUGUCACCAUAACUUCUUCGGUUACCUGCUGUUUUAAAUUUGGACCCUCCAUUUGUCCCUGAUGUGGCUUCCCAAGAGCCCCACACGCCGCCUUCCAAGAUCCACCUGACACCACGGCCUCAUCCUGUCCACUCAUCCCCAAAAGUACAAAAUUGAGAAUACCCUUACCCUUCUUAAGACCUACGAUGGACUUUCUCUCCACCGUCCGAUCUUGUCUACAUCAAUAAUCAUUCAUACUACGUACUCUACUCUCCGGGUCUGGACUACUAUCUUUCCUAGGUAAUGAUGCACCCUGCCCAACACUAUUACCACCGUACCCCUUACCAUGCCUAACCGAAUUACCAAAAAGCCCAUUAUUAAUCCCAGCCUUUUGAUUCACUAAAUCAACAGAAGUACAAUUUUCUUUCGCACACCACACUUGUUUCCCACCCACCUUUUUCAUUUGAAUUUCCACUUCAGGUUCCCGCCUAUCGUUUUGCCACGUGUUAUUUUGGUAGUGAUACAUAGCAAUCAUCUUCCCUUUGUUCCUAUUUUUCCAUGCAACUCCUCUUUAUUAGAAGCAUCUCAACAUAAAUCCUUCUCUUUCCUCUUUGCAACUUCAUGCCAUUCAUCUACUGCAUCUCUCAUUGUCUCAGUAGAUCCAUCGUUAACCUCUAAAAUUUUAUCCCCCUUAUCAUACUGAGAAACUAAAUGAUUUUCAAUAGUGAUCGAAAUAUGAAAAUCAAUACCUUCUGCUUCCAAAAUUAAUAAUUCAGGAAUUGUUUUGCCAUGAAUUUUUUCAAUUUUUAACCAUAUUGAAACCAAUCGCAGAAUUCCAGUCAAUUUCAACAAAGUUCCCACAAAUCUCAGCAAUUUCAUUAAAAAUCUCAAACUUCCAAGCAUGAAUAUGUAUACCACCUACUUUAACCCAAAUCUUCUCAUUCACAAUUUUAAAAAAAUUUAAAGAUUUAGAUCAGUCUUGCAGAGUCAAAAGACUACCUCUGAAUCUCCAAUGAUUUUUCCUGAGAAUUCUUUCUUUAGCAGUUUGAUCAAACAAAUUGAACAAGACGAAGCGAUAUCGAAAAAAACUUACAACUAGGUUUUUUAGCUAGAUUACAAUUUUGUCAGUCCCAACAGUCUAGCCCUCUCAGAUCUUGAAUUGGUGGAGAAAAUGAUCAUAACAAAGAUGAAUGCAGAGCUUUCCUUCUGUCUUUACAAAUUUCACCAUCCACCUUAAACAUCCAUUAAUCUACCAUCUGAUUAGUAGAUCCGACCGAAUUCACACCUAAUCUACCAUUAACACUCACUUGAGAAUCACCCCUCACAACCUUAGCAUAAGAUCGAGAAAGAUCAGUACCCAUCGAGAAAGAUCAGUAUAUAAAAGAGGAAUCGAGUGGAAAUAAUGGUAGAGAACUCAAUCGAUUCCAAACAUGCAUUAACCUAAUCAUACUUGUAUAUCUCAUUACUUUAUUGUGGGGACGAAGUUGUCUUGUAAGGCCAAUCUUGAGCACCAUGUUUCUUUUUCUAGGCAGAUCAUCAGGGGGAAGAGGUUAAAUAUCUGUGAUAGGAAUCAAACACAAGACGUCAUGUUAUGGCUAAUGCUCGAAAAAUUGAACCGGUUUUAAAAACUGGUAAACCAUCCAGUUCAAUCAUCUUAAUCGAACAGGUUCAACCGGGUCCAAAAAAUAUUAAAAUAAUAAAAAUAUAUGAAAAACAUAUUUAAAGCUUAAUUAAAUAAAGCACAUCCAAAUGAAGUUGAAAAGCAGUGAAAAAACAAAAUUUUAAAAAAAUCGAAUUAUGCUUAGUGGUAUUUUUAAAAAAGAUGGAAAAAUUGUAAAAAUAAUUUUUUUUAAGUGUUAAUUGGAGAUGUCAACAGUAGGAAUGGAUACCCCGAUGUAGUAACUCGGUGUGGGGAUGCUACCACAACAACCCCAUCCCCUUUCCUAAAAAUAUAAAAAUAAGUAUUCAAGGCCAAAAUACUUUCUAAUAUGUCAAAAUAAUAAAAAAAAACCCAUUACAAAUAUAUUUUUUUUGAAUUUUUUUAAAUACCCAGCCUAACCACCAAAACCAGAUUGGCCAGUGCCCAAUUCCGGUUUGAUCGGCCGAGUUUGAGAACACUCGUUGUGGCACUCCAUAGCCUCAAUACAUAUGAAUUGGGUUCAUUCCUAAAAUUCCAUAGUUCUUUUGAAAAGAAGAAAUAUGUUCAAUCGAACACUCAAAAUGAGGGCGUUUGUUUCGAAGUUUAUAAUCUUCUCCCUAGAGUCCUGGACUCUUGGUUGCUUUGUUUUUUUUGUGAAAAAUUUCCAUUUCGAGUUUCAUUUAUCGUCCAAGAAGCAAAAUUUAUCCCCCAUAUUUAUGUCUAGCUAGGAUUCGACUUUCUAGAACCUUUUAUUCUUUUGGAUAAUGAGGAUUGUUGGCCUAUAGAAUUAUGGGCAAUUUGUGGAUGGAUUUUAUAGUAUGAGAUCUUUGGUACAACGUGAAAUUUCCUCACAGCAAUUUGUGUUAAAUCUAGCGGCUAUGAUGUGUUAUAAAGUUUGAGAAAUCUUUUUGGAUUUUGUGGCUUGUCAAUGUCACACCUUCAGCAACAUGAUUUCACAUCUAAUGGUUAAGAGUAAUUUAACAUUCUUGCACCAAAGGUACAUGGUCUUAUUGUAUAUAUAUUUGUUGUUUUGGAAAAUACCCAUAGGUAUUUUGAGAAAGAUGUGGUUUGUAUAAGGCUGAGGCCCUAAACAAUCCAACAUAACAGAAAAAGUUGUUUCAAUGCCAAAAAAAUUCUAUAAUUCGAUCAACUUGACCUUAAGAUAUAUGAAUGUAAAAAAAAAAAAAGACUUCAAGUAUUAGAAGUAGUGCAUCUUGUAAAUGCAUUGUCUAGACCGUCAAUUUUCCAAAUUUUCAAACGUUCAUACAUCUGCUUGAUCUGCACUACUAUUGAAGCUUUAAAUUUUAGAAUUACAGAUGAAAAUAAAUUUUCAGACCAUCAUUAAGAUUUCUCGCUCUUGCAUAUUUUCAAAGGAAAUCAAUUUUUGAAUUUCACAAUCUCAAUCCCCCUUAUUAGAAAUCUCGAGCUCUCGCUUCUGCGUAUCUUCAAAGGAAAUCAAUUUUUGAAUUUCACAAUCUGAAUCCCCCUUAUUAGGGAUCUUGAUCCCCAUUAUUAGGGAUCUCAAUUCCCACCAUGAUAAGGACCAAAAAGUUGAUUUCCAAGACUACUAGGAGUGCAACUAUACUUUUAAUAUGCUUGCAUUGCUUGCUAGCCAUAAAUGAAGAGAUGCCUACUUAAAGUCCUAGAUCGUUUAUACUCUUUAUGAUUAGGAGCAAGGUUCCCAAAAGGUUGGGAUCCAGAUCCCAAAAGGUAAGGAUUGAGAUCCCUAAAAGAUAAGGAUCAAGAUGCUUGACAUUAAAGGAAAUUGAUCUCCAGUAUAUGUAUUGUGCAGACAACGUUCCUAACCAUAGGGAUAUUCUAGCUUUUCAUGAUGCCCCACUCUCCAUCCCUAUCCCACUCCUGAUCCCAACAAUUGUGGUUGGGGUCCUUGUGAAGGAACCCUCUUUUCAUUAUGUGACCCUAAUAAUAGUGAGAGCGGGCAUCCUCUUUGUCACUGUUUGGUUUGCUAGCUAUAGAUCUUCCCAAAGAAGGGACCUUGUUCCCCAUCCAAGGGCUAAAUCUCACCUGGUCCUAAAGCUACCCCAAAUGUGUGCUUAUUUUCUUCCAUGCUCUUGAAGCCUACGAAAGGCAACUUCGGAACCAGCCUGAGCCCUCUAAUGCAUAUUUUUCUUUGAUUACUUCCUCUCCCCCACCAAAGAAUUGGUCUUCUUGGGUGGAAAAUCUCCAGCACUACUUCCUUUGAUUACUUCCUCUCCCCCACCAAAUAAUUGGUCUUCUUGGGUGGAAAAUCUCCACCACUACUUUCUAGAUUCCAAUUCGUAACUUGCCAAGAGAUUUGGGUUUACACACCUUAUCCCACGCUAUCAAGUGGAACUUAUGCUUGUUUGCCUCUCCUCCCCAAAGGAAGUUAUGCAUGAAUUUCUCUAGUCUCGAGGAGACCGAGAUCAGGAUGUGGAACAACAACAUCUGAAAGAUUCGGAUGUUAAAAAGGGUAGCUUUGAUAACAGUUAUACGCUCAUCAAAAGAUAGGAAACUACCAUACUAGUAAACCAACCUCCAAUGGAAAUGCUCUUCUAUGUGGUCCCAUAAAGCCAUCCUUGGGUUACCUAUGCACAGAGGUCACCAAGUGUUAAGGAUCUUGAUCUCAACCUUUUAGAGAUCUUCCUCCAAAUCUUUAAAGAGGAUAUCUAGUAUAGGACUAUAUAUACAAUUUAAAUUAAGGAUCUCUUUAUUUAUAACCAGCAAGUAAUGCUACUAUAUUAAAAGUAUAGUUCCAUUUCUAGCUGGCUAUAAUAGAGAAUCCUUAACUUGGUCGUUAUCUUGGUCACCAAGGUGGGAAUUGAGAUCCCAAAAUCUAAAAUUGAGAUCCCUUUGAAGACUACUUUCCUGGAGCGUCGGAGCAAGAUCUCAGAGUAGGAUCGCCACCUAGGUUAGAAGAGCCCAGCAACUAUGAAUUAAACCAGCUCCAUUGUGUGGGAUUUCAGGAAGCUUUUCAAUGCUUUAAAAAUCACCUCAAUUGGAGUUGCUGAUCAAAAGUUACGGUUGUUUUACUGAAGAUUGUCAGAGGUUGCUGAAUUGUAUGCAAGUUCCAAUGCAUAUACACCUUUCUUGCAUGACGAUAUCAGCAUGAUGUCAUCGUAUCCAAAGUUCACAUGGAACCUCUUUUUCAUUUCACACUCUUCUCUUCUUGUUCUUCUUCUAUCCCCCCCCCCCCCCUCUUCUCCUAUGACCUUUCGGGCCAUGUACACCCUUUUUGUCGAUUUUAACUCAUGAUGCCCUUUCAGGUUUUCACCGUGCCCAAUUUUUAUUCACGAAGCUCUUUAACUUAUGGUUUCAUGACCAUGCCCAGUUUUUAUUCACGAAGCUCUUUAACUCAUGGUUUCAUGACCAUGCCCAUCCAUCAUUUUUACUCAUAGCAUUCUUCAGGUAUACACCAUGCUCGUUUUUUUUUUUUUUGUGAGGGUGUGUUUAAGGUCAUGCCUCCGGGACUUGUGCAAAACAAUUUGAUGUCAUGUAGCCUGGAUAUGCACUAUGGUUUAAGGUCAUACAGCUGGACCGUAAUGGUGAUGGAUGGCUUCUAUGAAGGCCAUGAAGUGAGUAUGGUGGUGGUUUGGCUCACUUGGGGAGACGGCUCGAGGCUAUUUAUGAGAGAUGAACAAUGUAUGAAAUGUGAGUGGAUGAUGGUGACCCACUAACUUACAACGAGUAUGAAUGGCAGGAUGGUUCACCGUUUUGUGAGCAUGGGUGAGACUCACUGGGGACUGAUGUAAGAUGAUCAAAGGCAUGAACUCACAGGGGAGGUAAUGAAGGUGGUGCGUAACUAACAGAUAGGUUAGAGAAGGCGUACGUGAAAGUGCAAGAAAAGGUGUGUGAGCAUAUGUGGCGACGCGUUUGUGGUCAUGCCUCCAAGACCUGCGUGAAGCAGUUUAUCAUCAUGCGGUCAGGACGUGCACUAUGGUUUUAAGGUCAUACAGCUGGACCGUGGUUAUACAGUUUAAAGUCAUAUAACUAGGACCAUGCAGUUUAAGGUCGUGCAACUAGACCUCUGCUAAGGUUUAAGGUCAUAAAGUUCGAACCAUGGUGCUAAGCCUUUUAUCGUCAUGCGGCUAGGAAGUGCACUAUGGUUUUAAGGUCUUAUAGUCGGACCAUGUAGUUUAGGGUCAUGCAGCAUGGACCGAGGCUGUGUAGUUUAGGGACGUGCAGUACGAACUGAGGCUGAGCAGUUUAGGGUCAUACAAGGUGGUCACAAUUAUUUAUAACCAUCGGAUGUCAAGUUUGAUAAUUUGGAUGUGUCACAAAGUUUGAGAAAAUGCCUUUUGAAGUUUGAGAUUAGUUAAUAGAAUAAUCGCAAUCAACUAAUUUCACAUCUAAUGGUUAGGAUUAAUGUGACUACCUUAUCCCAAAGGUACAUGGUCUCAUCGUAUACUUUCCCUAAAAAAAAAUGAAGAUUGGCGAUCCGGAUCAUUUAUCUAGAAAAUUGGGUUGGAUCGGAAAAUUGGCCGGAUCAGUUGGUUUCGGCGUAGAAAAAUUUCAAAAAAUCUUUAAAAUUUAUUAGAAAUCCAGAUUUUUAGGUUAACAAUAAACUAAGGGAUUGCAUUAUGGAUUUUCAUCAUUUUACUAAAGAUACAUAAAUAAUGAGAAUAUGUUUCAUGCCUAAAUGUUUGUUGAUCAUUACAUUCAUUUCAUAGUUGAAAUAUAGUUUAGAAUUCACUAUAACCCGUACUUUUUUUAUUCUUUUGUUUUUACAAUCUUCAACACCGUUGGUAAAGAUAAGGGGUUUUCUUAUCCAUUUCUUACUUUUACCCUUUUCUUAAAAACUUAAGGUGAGAGAUAUUGGUCCUUUAAAGGCAACUAAAAAAAACCAAAGUUCUUAUUAAAGGUGAGAGAUAUUGGGUCAUUUAAAGGUUAAUAAAACAAAACAAAGUUCCUAUUAAAAGUGAGAGAUAUUGAGCCAUUUGAAAGUUAAUAAGAAAAAACAUACAUUUCAUUAAAGGUAAGAGAUAUUGGGUCAUUUAAAGGGUUUUUGGCCUUGUAAAGUAAGAAUUAGAAACCCAAUAUCUCUUAGAAACCCAAUAUCUCUCACAUUUAAUAAGAAAAAAACAAAGUUUUUAUUAAAGAUGGGAGAAGUUGGGUCAUUUAAUCCCAUUGAUAUUUGUUGUAUUGAAAAGUUUACCUCCAAAAAAAAAAAGAAAAAAAAAAAAAAAAAAAAAAAGAAAAAGAAAAAAGAAGGAAAUUUGCCCCACGGAAAUAAAUAAGAUAGAACAAAAGAGAAAGAGAUGGAAAGGCUUUAUCUCACUUCAGGAAUACAGAUAAGAAAGGGGGCCCAAAAUGCUAUAAAUAAGUCUCGCGUGUGUCUUAUAGUGUGGAUGGGCACAGGUAUCCGGUGCACUAGCAUGGUGGGGCCAAGUAAAUGUAAAUUUUUAAAAUUCAAAUUGUGAAAUUAAAAUAAAUAAGAUAUCGCUUGAUUUACUUUCGAAUUGCGACGCUAGUUGUUGUUUUUUGCAAGAAAACGGAUGCGCUAAUGCUAGCAUUAGGCUAGCCCUGCAUGGUUCACUUCAGACAAAACCGGCAAGUUAUCUGAUAUACAGGCGGAUUUGUCAUUGAACUGAUUAGUUCUUCAUGAGAACUGGUCAAGUCCUUAUAUAUUGGGGGAAUUAGAUUAGCCCAUUUGACUCUUGUUCUAAAUUGGGCUUUUCCAAUUUGGAUUGCCGAUUUUUUAAACCUUGCUUAAAACCUUACCCCGCUUCUUGUCUUUAAGCUCUAAGUUGGCCCUACACCAUUUUUUCAACGGUGCGGUGUGCAUUAAGGUGUUAAGCUUAGAUAUUGAAAAUGGGGUGUGCCUCUAAAUUUUGCUGAAUUAUGCAAUUUUGGUGAUGAAAUUUUUUUGUGAUCAAAUGAAAAUAUUUUGUCAUCCCUAAUUAUGAAUUAAAGCUUAAAAAAUGGUAUGGUCAAAGCAAAUCAAUAAAUAACUCAAAUCUUUGAAAAUGGAUAAUCCAGAUAUUAUGUUACAAGAUGCGCCUUUUAAGCACUUGAAAUCAUUUAUUUAUUCAUUACUGUACAUCUCGAAGUUAAAAUGAUCAAUCAUAGAGUUUUUUAGCAUCAGAACAAUCUUUUCUUAUGGGUUUUUGAGGUGUUCCUUACUUCUAUAGUAUAUGAUCGAUGUUUUAUACAGACUUUUGAUAAAAAAUUAUACAAGGUGUCAACCUUACACUUUAGAAGUAAGGCACACCUCAAAAAACCCACUAAAACAAAUAUUUUUGACAUUGCAAAACCUCAACUUGAUCAUCUUGACUUUGAGAUGAGUGGAUAUGAAAAAAAAAUAUAUUUCAAGUUUUGAAAAUAGUGUAUCUUGUAGCGCAUUAUUUACAUCGUCAAUUAUCAAGAUUUUCUAGUGUUUAUAGAUCUACUUGAUUUGUAUUAUUUUUAGAGUCUUAGAUUUUACAAUUAGUUGGUCAUGCUCUUUAAAUAUUUUUAUUAAUGGAAUACUUAUAAGAAGCUACCUGUCAUGCUUGGUCUUAAAUAAUUAUGAAAAUUGAAGUGCUGCACAUUUUCAAGGGCAAUGUUGGUUUUGAACAAGUUUACUCCUCCCUUUAUAAUUUAUAGGCUUGGAUGAAAAUUAGUGGCUCCCCACAAGCAUAAACUUCACUCGAGAGUUUUUUAAUACGGUAAAACAUCUGAUAGUUUUCUUUUAAGGGUGUGGUUUAAACAAUUAAGACGCACCUCCAAAUUUUAUCAUAACAUGUAGUUUUAGUAUAAAAAAUUCUUAAGAUGGCUUAAAAAAUAUAUUUUCAUAUCUAAUUAUAAAAUCCAAAAAUGUUUUAAAUCUUGUAGAUCUAUAAACAUAUGAAAAUCUUCAAAAUAGGCAGUCCGUUGCAAGAUGCACUAUUUUUUGAACUAGAAAUCCUUUUUCUUUUCAUAUUCAUACUUAUUGAUGUCGAGCUGAUCAAUUAGAGAGUUUUUCAACAUUAACACACCUCUUUUAAUGGACUUUUGAAGUGCACUUUAAUUCUACAUUUUAAGGUUGCAAACUUAUACGAACUAGAAAUUUCAGUCUAAAAUGUAUUGGUUUUUGAGAGGAACCUCUUGGAGGCCGGAGGGUGGACCAAAGUUAUCUACAAUCUCCUACAACCUUCUCUCUCUGCCUGUCAUAUGGCAACCCCUCUCUCUCUCUAAGUGAUAAGAAAAUUACAAGCCUUUAUAAAUUCUAUCAUAAAUAGCGUUAAGAUUAGGUAAGAAAAAUAGAAGUCCAACUAGACUAGGACCGUCGAUUAUAUAUUUUAGUUUUAAUAUAUAUCUAACAUCUAAGGAAGACGAGAGAGAAAAGAAUAUAUUUUCCCCAUUUGGGGUCACUAUAUAGAAAAUACAACUUCCUCUAGAGAAAGAGACAAUAACCUCUUGCAUUGAGUGGCAAUGCCUUCAUAUAGAGAUAAAUGAACUUCUUGCAGAGAGAAGCAUCUACGGAAGUACAUCCUAUAGAGUUAGAGGUUGGUUUUUCAUACUCGUAUUAUGCUCCUUAUUGAUUUUUUUUAAACCGGUUAAGUAUAGGAUUGUAGUAGGCUCCAACUUUUGAGGUUCCUAUUUCCAUUUAUAAGAUAGAUCUUGAAUACUACGAAGUGGUAUUAGAAUACAUGGUUCAAUAUACAGCUUGGUUUAGUUUAUUCGGUCAAAUAAAAGUCUAUGACGAAAUGUGUGAGUGUUUUGUUUGAGGUGGAAAAAUACGAUGGCAAACAUAAAUUUUCAGUAAAAAUGACUAAGGGGUUUAUUUAGAAACAAAGGAGGAAAUUGUGAAAUUAUAUGAUGGAUGUUGGCAUCAUAAAGAGGUGAUUUUAAUAUUAAGGUGGACAAUGUUAGAGAAAAUCUUAGGUAAAAUGACAAGCUUAUAAGUGAGAUUAAGAUUAGGUAAACCAAAUGGAAGUCCAACUAGAUCAAGAUUCAAGACCCCAUGAUUAUAUCACUUAGUUUUUGAGAUAUGUAUGACAUGUUAGGGAAGUUUUCCUAUUUGGUAUAUGAUUUCUAACCUUUUAUACAUAGAUAACGAAGAAUAAUAUAUGUGCCCCAUUUGAAGUCACCAUUUGGGAAAUGUGACUUUCUCUAGAAAGAGAAGCAAUGGUCUCUUGCAUUGAGAAGUAAGGCCUUUAUAUUGAGAGAUGUGAGCUUUUUAUGAAGAGAACCACCAUGAUAAUACCUACAACUCGCUUGCAGACUUUGGGUGAUAUCUCCUUUUAGUAAGAGAAAGUUUUAGUUAUACUCAAGGUUUUUUUCAUGUACAAUAUCUAGCUAUGGAGUAGAAAUCAAAGAUCGACUUGUAACAUUGGUUAAAGCUGGUUCAAAAGGGUUUGGUCAAAGGUUAGAUUAUUGUAUCCCAAAAUAUGUGAUGUACAUUUUCAUUGGUAUAACAGAUUUCAGUUUACCAUGCUUGUGGAUGUACCCCUUUGAGAUAAACUACGUAAAUCUUUGUGUUCAUGCGAUGUCUGUAUUUUUUAUGCUUUAUUUCUCAUACUUAUAUUAUGCUCUGUAUUAGUUAAUUUUUUUCUAACUAGUUAAAUAUAGAAUCAUUCUGAGAUCCUACUUUUGGAGUUCCUAUUUCCUAUGAGAGAGGUCUUGAGUCAUAAAACAAAGAGUGGUGGGAUCCUCCACCCAAUCAUUAGCUCUCUCUAUCUAGAAAGAUCAUUGGUAGGGAUAAUUUUUUUAAAAUAAUCAUAUGAAAGGAUGAUCAUAUAAGCCAACAGAAAUAAUUUAGAGGAUCUCCUCCUUGAAACAGUUUUUCUAUAACUUUAAUUAAAAAAUAAACAUUUUAAAACAUCAAUUUCAAGUUUUGGAAAUGCACGUGUGAAAAGUUAGAAUUCAACAGUCUGGUUUGUAUAAGGUUGCAACAAUAAACAAUCAAAUCAAGGGCACCCCUAAAUUUUAUCAUAAGAUGUAAUUUUGGUGUAAAAAAUACCUAGGAUGACUUAAAAAUCUAUUUUUAUCUCUAAUUAUAAAAUUAUAAACUCCAAAAAUUGUUCACAUUAGGUAGAUCUAUAAAUUCAUGAAAAUCUUAAAAAUGGACGGUCUAGAUAAUUUGUUAUUAAUAAAGCUUUAUAAACUUAUUUGGUCUGUAAACUAGCUCAAUAUUUAGGUGAUGGUGGAGCAAUUAAAAGGUAUAUAUGCAUAAAUAAGUGUGGCUUUAUGCUUAUACAUUAGAAACUUAUAUGGAUGUUGACAUCUCAACAUCAUCAUAGCUUUUUUUUCAAUUAAUUGGGGCCUGCUACAUAAAUCUCAGUCCGCUUCAAGAUUCAUGAUAAGUUUUAACAAAAUUUUACGUUGUCUAUCUACCUAAUACAACUGAGCUCUUUACCCGGACAUGGAUGUCAAUAUCACAAGACUAAAUAUACCACAUAUUUGAGUAGAAGGUCUCAAGGAUUUGACCCUCCCACAUUUUGGGGUGUCUUGGGUCAUUCGUACUUACCCCAAAAUCGGCAUUGGACUCAACGAAGAAGUCAAUGAAAAAUGUUGAAAGGAUAUAACAAAAAUGUUAAUAUGUUUGUGUAGAAAAUGCAAAAGGGUAUUUCAAAAUAACAUCUAUUAGAAGCAAUGGUUUUUUUGUCAAAAACUGCUUUUCUGGAUUUUAGUUAGGGAAAAUUAUAUAAAUAUCUAUUUUAUUUUCCAUCAUUAUUUAAAGACCUAAAACUUUCCAUUAUUACUGGUGCUUGUUUUUUAAACUUCAUAACAAUUUUUUUUUAAAAAAGAAGAAGCUACCUAUUUUCGUUUUUUCUAAAAAUUGAAAUUAUUAAAAUUUGUAUUUUUCAAAAACUGAAUUUAUUUGUUUUUUGGUUUUUUUUUUAAAAACCUAAACUUUUCUCUUUAAAUCUGGAGCAAGUUUCUUCAUUCUCUAAAACUAGUCAAAUACCUACUUCUAUUACAAUUCUCUAAAACUAGUCAAAUACUUACUUCUAUUACUAUUACUCAAAUAGCGUAUUAGUAAAAGCAUACAUACCUCUUUAAGAGGGUUUGGUAUCAAAUCCUGUCCAUUCCAUGAUGAGAUUGCAUAUGGCAAGAUUGGAACCCUUGACAUGGAAGUGUAGAGGUAUGCAUUACAAUAGAAAAGCCAAUAACUUGGCCGAGUCCACAAAUAGUGAAAUUUGGUUUAUCAAAAACUGAAAUUUUUUGAAUUUCAGUGUUUGCAAAACAAAAAAUGAGUAGUUUCGUCUUCUUAAAAAAAAAUUGUUAUGAAGUUAAAAAAAACGACAUAUGAGUAAUAAUGAAAAUUUGUAGGUAUUUUCAUAAUAACAAAAAAUAAAAUGGAUUUUUACACAAUUUUUUCUUUUAGUUAUGAAGAAUUUAAAUGAGAUAGUUCUGUAUAUAUAAACAAUCUCUAAUCUUAGAGUAGUGUUCACAAAAUCGAAUCGGAAAGGUUAAUCGGACAUUGGACCAUAAGUGAUUUAACCGGCUUAACUGGUAAACUGGCCGAUUCAACUGUUCUAACCAGGCAAGUCCCGGGCAAUCAAAAAAUUGUUGAAAAAAAAUAAAAAAGCUAUGAAAAAAAAUAAAAAAGCUAUAAAAAAAAUCAACUAAAAUAUGAAAAGCAUAUAAAGAAGGGUGCGGUUUGUAGAGAGCCGAGGCUCUAAACAAUCAAAUUAGAGCCCACCUUCAUAUAGUGUUGAGAAAUAUGGUUUCAAUGCAGGAAAGUUUUGUGAUAGCCUUAAAUUAUAUUUUCAUUUUUAGUUAUAAAAUUUAAAGCUCCAAAAAUGGUGUAGAUCAAGCAGAUAUGUGAAAACUUGAAUACCGUAAAAAUUGACGGUCCAAAACGCCUUACGAGAUGCACUAUUUCCAAAACUUGAAAUCCAUUUUUUCUCAACUCCAUGUAUCUUGAUGUCGAGAUGAUCAAUUUGAGGAUAUUUGGGCAUCAAAACAAUAUCUUCUAGUUGUAUUCUUAAGGUAGGCUUUAAUUUGAUUGUUUAGAACCUAGGCUCUGUAUAAACUUUUCCCUAUAAAGAAUGAUUAAAACAAAACACAUUCAAAUGAAGAUAAAAAUAAAUGAAAAAAUGGUUGUUAAAUAAUCGAUUUGUGUCUACAGGGAUUUUUAAAUUUUUUUGAAAAAGAUGGAAAAAAUAUAAAAGUGAAUAUUAAUGACCAAAGCAAUUUGUAAUAUUUACCAUAAUGUAAAGAAUAUUAAAAAAUGUAUUACAAACAAAAUUCCUUAUUUUUUAGAUUUUAUAUACAAUUUUUUGAAAUUUUUAUUUUAAAAUUCCUACCGAUCACCAAAACAGCCCGAAACCGGAACCGGCCAAUGAUCUAACCGGGCAGUUACUUGUUAGAUCACCUGGUUUUUCUAACAUUGUCUUAAAGUCACUUUCUUCUAAAAAUAUAAAUAUCUAGAUUCAUAUUCAUCAUUAACAAACCCUAAAAUUUUGGAUCCAAAAUCCAUAUUUAAGAAGGAUUUUGGAGGGCGCGUAAAAUUGGCCGACUCACCAAAUACUUUUUCUUAUAUACAAAAAAGGUCCCGGUUUCUAUGCGGCCAAGCUCGCAUAUGUAGAAAUGCUGGCCUAUUAAUAAAAUCUAUUUUUGGGAUGGAUUUUUUGACUUAAUUUUUAAGGACAUGUAAUCUCUAACAUGGAGAUCACGAAUAUGAAAAAAAAAAAGUAAAUUUUAAAAACUAAAAAUAAUAAGUCGAGUAAUAAAACAUUUGGACCGUCAGAUUCCAUUGUUUUUAGAUGAAACACCUACUUGCAUCCGUCUUGAAGAUGGAUACUUUACACUUUUUAGAUCUCAUAUGUAGUCAUGCGGCCCUACCUUUAUGAAACAAGUUUCCUAAAAAAAACACUUUAUAAGAGGUAACCACUCCUACAUCAAAACUUUUAUUGCGCUCAACAUCGAAUCUCUUGUUGCAAAAUCAAUGCAACUUCCUUACGAUGACCCCUUGGGCCAAGCCAGUCCCGGCCCAAUCAGGGCUCAGGUCCCUAGGCCCAGACUCGUCAAGGCCUAAAAGAAUAAAAGAAUUUGAAAAAAUAAAAAACUUUACACUUUUUAGAUCUCGUAUGUAGUCAUGCAGCCCAACCCGCAUGAAGCAAUUUUCCUAAAAAACAACACUUUAUAAGAGCUAACCAUGCCUACAUCAAAACUUUUAUUACGCUCUACAUCGAAUCUAUUGUUGCAAAAUCAAUGCGACUGCCUUACGAUGACCCCUUGGCCCACGCCAAUCCCAGCCCAAUCGGGGCUCAAGUCCCUAGGCCGAGACUGGCCAGAGCCUAAAAAAAAUAACAGAAUUUUUAAAAAAUUGAAAAGAUACUACAUAAGCCCAACCCCGCCUUGUCAUGGCUUGGCCCAUGCCUGGCCCUCAGACAACAUUUUGCGGCCCUGGCCCUAUAUUUUGAUGGCCAGGCGAGGUGACCUUAUCCAUUUCCAGGCCUACCUUUGAUAUAGGCGCCAUAUUCUGAAACAAUGGAGGUUCAUUAGUCAUUACGGAGUAUAAAGACAUCAUACUCCUUAACGGAGCAUAUUUUCCCACUAUUUUCCUACUGAAAAUAGGAAAAAUUAGAAUAGCAACUACUAAUAACCAGCACAAUGAAAAACCAAUUGUCUUCAUUGCAAAUGUUGGAAGGACAUAAUGAUCGAUUAUUUGCCGCUUGAUUUUGUCAAUUCGAGAUUGGGGCUAUCGAUGUGUAGCUUAUGACUAUAGAAAGUCUGUAAUCCUCAACGUCAUCACCGUUUCCCUAUGGAUUGGACGGUGAGAUAUAUUGCACAGAAGUUCUAUGAUCGUAUGGAUCAUAGUACUUUUUGCUCUUUCGGUGGAUAGCGCUAUAACUAAAAUGCAACUGAGUAAAACCACGCUCCCAGGGCGUCACUAAACCCUAAAAAAAAACCCUAUGCUGUUAAUCCCUCUGCAACUCCCGAAAUGUUCUCUCAAUUCAUUGAGGACCAAACCCUAUCGAAACCGUAUCCUGAUCAUCUCGUUGACACGCCAAGUGUUUUCCAUUCAUGACCAAUAAACCGUAGCAUAAAGCCCAAUCUAAUAACCUCUCUGCAACUCCGAAAAUGAUCUCAAUUCAUGUAUGAAAAUCCGAAAACCUUGAUUUGAAAUCAAACCCACCAACAAAAUGAUCUUAAUUAGAAGACCCUAUCUGUGCAUCAAGACCCUCUUCCGCUUCGAAGCUCUUCAUUCUCCU
rnacentral:lncRNA from 1 species